rnacentral:piRNA from 1 species
UCUGCUGGCAUGCAGGCACAAGACUGUA